CAUCCCUUUCUUUUUCUUCUUUUUCAUUUUUUCUCUCAAAAACUUCUCCUCUCACUCCCCCAUCCUCUCCCACCGAUGCCACUCCACACCACCAUCUCCACAAUCAUUUUUCGACUAGAACAUGGGAAAAACUUCUUAGGAACCUUAGCAUCUUCAUCCCUUUUAUUUAAGGUUCUAGCUAAUCUCAUUUGGAGCUUGGAGAGUUAGGCUUUUUGCGUUGCAAGAUCAGUGCCCUUUCACUUUGGAUGACGCGGUCUUCCUUACUGCCUAUGGGGGGAAGAGGUUCCUCGAUUGUGUGUGGGUGAGGCUACUGCCCAUGGGGCCAAAAGACCACGUACAAAAAAUGUCAUAUUUGACGCAUUCUUCCUGCUACCCAUAGGGGGGAGAGAAAAAACCUUGAGGGUAUGGGUGAGACUACUACCCAUGGGGCCAAGAGACUAUAUACCAGAGGACAAUAUCAUGCCAGUUGUGAAUGGGUGGAUCCCUUGACCGGUCUAUGUGAUAUUGUGGUUUCUUUGUGAUAAUUUACCUUAUGUUAGAUAUUUUAUGGCUUUGGAAAUUAGAUUGUUAGUGCUCACAGAUUAUAGU